rnacentral:rRNA from 1 species
GAUGAACGCUGGCGGCGUGCCUAAUACAUGCAAGUAGAACGCUGAAGGAGGAGCUUGCUCUUCUGGAUGAGUUGCGAACGGGUGAGUAACGCGUAGGUAACCUGCCUGGUAGCGGGGGAUAACUAUUGGAAACGAUAGCUAAUACCGCAUGACAACAGUUAUUGCAUGAUAACUGUUUAAAAGGGGCAACUGCUCCACUACCAGAUGGACCUGCGUUGUAUUAGCUAGUUGGUGAGGUAACGGCUCACCAAGGCGACGAUACAUAGCCGACCUGAGAGGGUGAUCGGCCAAACUGGGACUGAGACACGGCCCAGACUCCUACGGGAGGCAGCAGUAGGGAAUCUUCGGCAAUGGACGGAAGUCUGACCGAGCAACGCCGCGUGAGUGAAGAAGGCUUUCGGAUCGUAAAGCUCUGUUGUAAGAGAAGAACGAGUGUGAGAGUGGAAAGUUCACACUGUGACGGUAUCUUACCAGAAAGGGACGGCUAACUACGUG